UAAUCAUUCCCAGCAGCUAUUGCCAGAUCAGGAACAAUAGGUGGAAUGAUAACACCACUUAUAUUAAAGUUAUCUAAUACUACAUAUUCUGAUUUCAUUUGCUCAUUAGUCAGGCAGUUCUUAUUAACACUAGUCAACUACAGACAAUAUAAUGCCAUUUUUGGAUGAAGCACCACUUAAAACCUGCCUUCGUGUUUGAGCUCAGGACAUUUCACAAAAUAAGGAGAAACCCGGUAUUACAGGGCUGCUUUUAAAAUGAGUUUGGAUAUCUAACACUGCUAGAAGCUGUUUCAACAGUAGCUCAGUUCCCAAUUAAACUCAUUACUAACACUCUAAAGUACAUUUGAAAAACCAACAUAAAUGUACUUUUCUUUCUCUUCGUGAAACUUGAACCUCAGGACAAAACUCAGAAAUGAACAAAAGCUGAUUCACUGGAACUGUGUCCGAGACUAAAAUUUUGACCAUGAAACCUACUGUUUAUUUCUAAAACUGAAUUAAAAUUAUAACUUGGUGUGUAUGCUGUGCA